UACGGAGGGUGCAAGCGUUAUCCGGAUUUACUGGGUUUAAAGGGUGCGUAGGCGGUUUGGCAAGUCUUGUGUGAAAUCUUCGGGCUCAACCCGAAGCCUGCAUAAGAAACUGCCGGGCUUGAGUAUGGGAGAGGUGAGUGGAAUUUCCGGUGUAGCGGUGAAAUGCGUAGAUAUCGGAAGGAACACCUGUGGCGAAAGCGGCUCACUGGACCAUAACUGACGCUGAGGCACGAAAGCUAGGGGAGCAAACAGG
rnacentral:rRNA from 1 species